CGGGAAACCGGAGCUAAUACCGAUAAUAUAUUGAACCGCAUGGUUCAAUAGUGAAAGACGGUUUUGCUGUCACUUAUAGAUGGAUCCGCGCCGCAUUAGCUAGUUGGUAAGGUAACGGCUUACCAAGGCAACGAUGCGUAGCCGACCCCGAGAGGGUGAUCGGCCACACUGGAACUGAGACACGGUCCAGACUCCUACGGGAGGCAGCAGGC
rnacentral:rRNA from 1 species